AGGACCUAAUUAAGAACAAAAAUAUGAAACAACAUGGUACUUUUCCAUACUUCCCCUAAGGUCAUUUGUCAUUUGAAUGUAACCCAAAAGUCAUUAAUAACAUCUCUAUAUACAAAAGCAUAUAUAAAUAUUAGCAAUCCAUGAUGGAAAUUAGCAAGGAUGAUCAAAUUUUAUAAAACAUGAAAAUUGAAUGAUGAAGUUGGAACAAAUUGAUAUUUAUUGACUGAGAUGAAAUUAAGGCUGACAUUGGUGACUAGUGAUGCAAUUUACGAACACCUUAUCUUUGUUUCGUUUCUUUUUUCUUUUUUCAUUUUUCUUUUGCUUGUAUUUAUGCAUGCUCUAAAAUAAUUUCAUUUUUAAUAUUCUAAUUUUAAGGGGUCACAGUUUUGAUGGUACAGAAUUCUGGGCAUGCAAGUAACCUAAAGGUUGCAAUUUAGAACUUCAAGUGAAAUCACUUAAUGGAAAUUUCUGAAUGAUUUAAAUUGUCUCCAAAGUUCCUUCCUUUGAACACUUUACUCCAAGACCAUAAUUGGAUAAUGGCCAUUGGCCAUUUUCUUAUGUGUUAACAUUCAUUUUCCUAGUUUGAUUGGCUUUAAUAAGGUUCCCCUUUUCUAACCAUUGACAGGGCUGAGCUUUGGAGUUGCUGCAAUUGUGGCUUUGGAUGGAACUUUGUUAUUAGAGGAGAUAAUGCAAGCAAAAG
rnacentral:misc_RNA from 1 species